rnacentral:rRNA from 1 species
GACGUAGGGCGCGAGCGUUGUCCGGAUUUAUUGGGCGUAAAGAGCUCGUAGGCGGCUUGUCGCGUCGACUGUGAAAACCCGCGGCUCAACUGCGGGCCUGCAGCCGAUACGGGCAGGCUAGAGUUCGGUAGGGGAGACUGGAAUUCCUGGUGUAGCGGUGAAAUGCGCAGAUAUCAGGAGGAACACCGGUGGCGAAGGCGGAUCUCUGGGCCUGUUCUGACGCUGGAGGCGCGAAAGCUAGGGGAGCGAACAGG